UCUCUCCUCUGUGGAGUCUUUCCUGCGGACAUAAAUCUUUGUAUACAGGAUUUUUGCCAUCUCUGGAGGCACGCCUUCACAUGUUCACCACAAUGAGUGGAGGAAGUGCCCAAGAGACCUGGUAACACAGGUGGACAGCUCAGUGAGCUCAUCAGACAGUCGCUUCACAAGAGCAUGAACAACUGAACAGAUUACACAAAAAAUGCACUCGAAUACUAAAUGCAAAGCAGAAUACGGGCAGCACAACCCGAACUCCUGUCCACCAGCGGAGAGCAACGCUCGGCAGCUGCUGCCGUGCCCUAACGCGGCGUCGUAACGCAUGGAGGCGGCUCCUCAGUCCGCGUCUCUGCGGGUGUCCGCCGAACCGAAGGCGCCGGAGCCGUCCCGCCGACACCGCUCCGCAACCCUGUGCGCUCCGCG